CUAAAUACUUUAGGGCUUUGAUAUUUGACGAGAGAGUUGGUGCAGUAUUCUCCAAAAUGAGCCUUCAUUGAGUGAUUAUAUAAAUGCUGGUGCUUCGAGAGCACCUUCCAAACAGACCAUUUUGAUUGAAAGGUAGCAAGUUCAAUGCAUCAACUAUAAACUUAGCUUAACCCGUCUUUGCUAUCACUGUUACUUAUGCCUCAUUAAAAAUAAAUAAACAAACACUGCUGGUGAGGGGGACAAGUAAAGCCCACCAGGUUUAUAAUUCACUGGGGGAAACCCUAUUGCUUUUUGGUAUUUUUACAAUAUUUACGGACUUUGUGUUCUUCAAAAGACUUAAUUUGAUGUUGGGUGUAUGCAUAAAUGAGAUUAUGGAAGUUGAGGUGUAUCUAAUACUAGACUGAAAAUUGAAGUAUUUCUAUCUUCUUCUGGGCUUUGUGUAGACAAAACCUCCAAGGUGUUCCCUGCAGCACUGGUACUGCAAAGAAUGUAGUUUCAAUGCUGCAGGAAACCUGCAAAAAUAGUUCAGUGAAGUUCUUAGUCACUAAGGAUUCUUUAGAGUAUCAAUCAUGGAUUUCAGUGAAAUUUAAUAUUGGAGACUCCUGGUGUUGGCAUAUACACACAGAGAACCCAAAAUGUACAAACAACUUACUUUUUUGUGGUCAUUCUUUUGUACUAUAAUAAAAGGUUUAUUCCAAUUAUAUAUAAAUAUGUAAUAUAUUUUGCAGCUUGAAGCUAGAACUCACUAUGAACCUCUGCCUCCUAGUUUCUAAGUCAUAUAUUAUCUAGUAAUAAAUUAAAACGACUCCAUGUUGGUUGAAGAGAUUCGGCUAUUGACCAUGACUAUAAAAGAUAUCUAUUCCUUUUUUUCUUUGAAUUAAACACAUGUAAUUAUCUUGUUAAUUACACAGCCUGUUGCUGAGGUUUGAAAAUGCCUCACUAGCAGACUGUAAAAUGACAAAACGAGCAAUCUCUGAAGGAAAUCUCUGCUUUUCAGGCCAUUCUAGUCUAAUGACUAGAUCAAAACUGUGAGCAAAAUGAUGCCCAAAUGUUCUGGCAUCCUGAGCGUUCUCCAGUCUGUUGGUACUGGUUAGAUGCAGAUUGAUUAGAUUUGACAUUUAUUCCUCCUCUGUUUUAGUAGAAAGAGAG